AAAGGAAGCUGUAAGGUACACCGGACCUGCUUUCACUCCCGGACGAGACGCACAGCGUGCAGCUGAUUCCCGACAUGCCAGAGGGAAACAUACUUCCACUGGAGUCUCCAGAGAGGAGCAGAGGGUGGGCUGUGGCAUGACAUCUGCCUGCAAGGGCUUCCAAGGACCUCACAAGGGUUGAAAGUUUUGGGCUUGGUCACUUGCGUUUGCAGUGACGUGGUUUCCAAAAGACUUCCUCCGGAAUCCCUCUGAAGCUCCUUGGACCCCGAGCCGGGGGGGCGAGAGGCUCGUAACUGCGGGGGUGUGCCCCAUCCUGGUGAGCCAACCCACAAGCCGGUUCCUAUACACCCCAGGAGAUUGUGCUCAGACUCCACCCCACUGGAAGAGCUCCAACCCACAUCUGUCAAGUUACACCUCGCUGUAGCCACUGUAUAUUUAAUGAUAAUAAUCAUUCAUUCAUUUUCUAUACCAGCUUUACCUUAUACAGGGUG